rnacentral:tRNA from 1 species
GGGAGCGUGGCGGAAUUGGCAUACGCAGCGGACUUAAAAUCCGCCGCCGCAAGGCUUGUGGGUUCGAACCCCACCGCUCCUACCA